AGAUCAUAUAACGAAUAGCUUAUUUACCUUGGCUAUCCCAAGCAUUCCAGGAUGCAUUAUGUUAAAGCUUGUGUCACUAAUGGCCAUUGAAGAAAUUGAGGUCAGAAAUGUUAUGAAAAUGGUGUUUCUGAGAGUUGGAGACAUGGGGAUGGUCGCAGCAGCAGGAUUUUUGUCGUUGGUGGUUUCGUUUAGUUUUUUUCUUUCUGAAUCCGAUUAUUUUAAGCUAGGCUGUGUCUAUAUAAAGCUUUUCUUACUCAAUAGAGCUUUUCCAUGGCAUUGUAUAGACAUAGCUUUGAUGUCAAUUGCAAGAACAUCCGUAACCUCUUAUUCUAUGUACAUUUUUUUUCAUUCUCAUCGGAUGCAUCAAACAUGCAGCGGUAAUAAGCCAGAUUCUACUC
rnacentral:lncRNA from 1 species